GAUGAACGCUGGCGGCGUGCCUAAUACAUGCAAGUCGAGCGAACAGACGAGGAGCUUGCUCCUCUGACGUUAGCGGCGGACGGGUGAGUAACACGUGGAUAACCUACCUAUAAGACUGGGGUAACUUCGGGAAACCGGAGACAAUACCGGAUAAUAUAUUGAACGGCAUGGUUCAAUAGUGAAAGACGGUUUUGCUGUCACUUAUAGAUGGAUCCGCGCCGCAUUAGCUAGUUGGUAAGGUAACGGCUUACCAAGGCAACGAUGCGUAGCCGACCUGAGAGGGUGAUCAGCCACACUGGAACUGAGACACGGUCCAGACUCCUACGGGAGGCAGCAGUAGGGAAUCUUCCGCAAUGGGCGAAAGCCUGACGGAGCAACGCCGCGUGAGUGAUGAAGGUCUUCGGAUCGUAAAACUCUGUUAUUAGGGAAGAACAAAUGUGUAAGUAACUAUGCACGUCUUGACGGUACCUAAUCAGAAAGCCACGGCUAACUACGUG
rnacentral:rRNA from 1 species